AUUGAACGCUGGCGGCAUGCCUUACACAUGCAAGUCGAACGGCAGCGGGGGAGAAGCUUGCUUUUCCUGCCGGCGAGUGGCGAACGGGUGAGUAAUACAUCGGAACGUGCCCUGUAGUGGGGGAUAACUAGUCGAAAGAUUAGCUAAUACCGCAUACGACCUGAGGGUGAAAUGGGGGAACCGCAAGGCCUCAUGCUAUGGGAGCGGCCGAUGUUGGAUUAGCUAGUUGGUGGGGUAAAGGUCUACCAAGGCGACGAUCAGUAGCUGGUCUGACAGGACGAUCAGCCAGACUGGGACUGAGACACGGCCCAGACUCCUACGGGAGGCAGUAGUGGGGAAUUUUGGACAAUGGGCGAAAGCCUGAUCCAGCAAUGCCGCGUGUGUGAUGAAGGCCUUCGGGUUGUAAAGCACUUUUGUCCGGAAAGAAAUGGCUCUGGUUAAUACCUGGGGUCGAUGACGGUACCGGAAGAAUAAGGACCGGCUAACUACGUGCCAGCAGCCGCGGUAA
rnacentral:rRNA from 1 species